CUCAAUAAUAAACCAAAAAAAUCAAUGUAGGUUGACAUAAAUAAACACGAGAUAAGAACAAGCAAAGAUCUGUUGCUCUGCAGCGUAAGAAAAUGAAUCUACCACAUCCGCGCUUGUCUUAACUGUUCUCGGAGCCCUUGGCUGUGCAGGGUCUUCCCUGUCAUUUCCAUCAUGGCCUGUACUUCAGGAUCUGCAUCUAACCUGCUCCUGUUCUUCAGGUGGCUGCCCAACGCCCCACACCUCCACAGUGUCCAGUUUGAAGUCCUCGUCUCCUGA